UGGGGAAUAUUGCACAAUGGGCGCAAGCCUGAUGCAGCAACGCCGCGUGAGGGACGACGGCCUUCGGGUUGUAAACCUCUUUUAGUAGGGAAGAAGCGAAAAGUGACGGUACCUGCAGAAAAAAGCACCGGCUAACUACGUGCCAGCAGCCGCGGUAAUACGUAGGGUGCGAGCGUUGUCCGGAAUUAUUGGGCGUAAAGAGCUCGUAGGCGGUCUGUCGCGUCUGCUGUGAAAACCCGAGGCUCAACCUCGGGCCUGCAGUAGGUACGGGCAGACUAGAGUGCGUAGGGGAGAAUGGAAUUCCUGGUGUAGCGGUGGAUGCGCAGAUAUCAGGAGGAACACCGAUGGCGAAGGCAGUUCUCUGGGCCGUAACUGACGCUGAGGAGCGAAAGCGUGGGGAGCGAAACAGGAUUAGAUACCCUGGUAGUCCACGCCGUAAACGUUGGGCGCUAGAUGUGGGGACCAUUCCACGGUUUCCGUGUC
rnacentral:rRNA from 1 species